rnacentral:rRNA from 1 species
GACGAACGCUGGCGGCGUGCUUAACACAUGCAAGUCGAACGGAAAGGCCCUGCUUUGGUGGGGUGCUCGAGUGGCGAACGGGUGAGUAACACGUGAGUAACCUGCCCGUGACUUUGGGAUAACUUCAGGAAACUGGGGCUAAUACCGGAUAGGAGCUCCUGCUGCAUGGUGGGGGUUGGAAAGUUUCGGCGGUUGGGGAUGGACUCGCGGCUUAUCAGCUUGUGGGUGGGGUAGUGGCUUACCAAGGCUUUGACGGGUAGCCGGCCUGAGAGGGUGACCGGCCACAUUGGGCCUGAGGUACGGCCCAGACUCCUACGGGAGGCAGCAGUGGGGAAUAUUGCCCAAUGGGCGGAAGCCUGAUGCAGCAACGCCGCGUGCGGGAUGACGGCCUUCGGGUUGUAAACCGCUUUCGCCUGUGACGAAGCGUGAGUGACGGUACUGGGUAAAGAAGCACCGGCUAACUACGUG